rnacentral:rRNA from 1 species
AUACGGAGGACGCGAGCGUUAUCCGGAUUCAUUGGGUUUAAAGGGUGCGCAGGCGGCCGUGCAAGUCAGCGGUGAAAGCCCGGGGCUCAACCCCGGAAGUGCCGUUGAUACUGCGUGGCUGGAAUGCGGUCGAGGCGGGCGGGACGUGGGGUGUAGCGGGGAAAUGCGUAGAUAUGCCACAGAACGCCGAUAGCGGAGGCAGCUCGCCAGGUCUGCAUUGACGCUCGGGCACGAAAGCGUGGGGAUCGAACAGGAUUAGAUACCCUGGUAGUCCGCGCCGUAAACGAUGGGCGCUCGUCGUCGGCGACAGACAGUCGGCGGCCAAGCGAAAGCGAUAAGCGCCCCACCUGGGGAGUACGGUCGCAAGGCUGAAACUCAAAUGAAUUGACGGGG